rnacentral:rRNA from 1 species
GAUGAACGCUGGCGGCGUGCCUAAUACAUGCCAGUCGAGCGAACGGACGAGAAGCUUGCUUCUCUGAUGUUAGCGGCGGACGGGUGAGUAACACGUGGAUAACCUACCUAUAAGACUGGGAUAACUUCGGGAAACCGGCGCUAAUACCGGAUAAUAUUUUGAACCGCAUGGUUCAAAAGUGAAAGACGGUCUUUCUGUCACUUAUAGAUGGAUCCGCGCUGCAUUAGCUAGUUGGUAAGGUAACGGCUUACCAAGGCAACGAUGCAUAGCCGACCUGAGAGGGUGAUCGGCCACACUGGAACUGAGACACGGUCCAGACUCCUACGGGAGGCAGCAGUAGGGAAUCUUCCGCAAUGGGCGAAAGCCUGACGGAGCAACGCCGCGUGAGUGAUGAAGGUCUUCGGAUCGUAAAACUCUGUUAUUAGGGAAGAACAUAUGUGUAAGUAACUGUGCACAUCUUGACGGUACCUAAUCAGAAAGCCACGGCUAACUACGUG